rnacentral:tRNA from 1 species
AAAGGAAUUGUUUAUUGAUUCUGAAUAACCGAACAAAAAGGCUAGAAAAUACUAUUUGAGUUUUGUAUAUCUUAAUUUUUUAUUAAAUAGU